GGUUGAUCCUGCCAGUAGUCAUAUGCUUGUCUCAAAGAUUAAGCCAUGCAUGUCUAAGUAUAAACUUUUAUACAGUGAAACUGCGAAUGGCUCAUUAAAUCAGUUAUAGUUUAUUUGAUAGUACCUUACUACUUGGAUAUCCGUAGUAAUUCUAGAGCUAAUACAUGCAUCAAAGCCUGACUUCUGGAAGGGCUGUAUUUAUUAGAUAAAAAACCAAUGUGGGCAACCACUUUAUUGGUGAUUCAUAGUAACUUGUCGAAUCGCAUGGCCUUGUGCUGGCGAUGGUUCAUUC
rnacentral:rRNA from 1 species